AAAAUUUUUGCUUGAUUACAUUCUAUUACAUUCAACCAUGAUAUACCAAACAGUAACCAAGUGUUAUACAGAUGGUUCAAGCUUCAAGGAACACUCCAUCUCAGUAGCCUGGAUAUUGCAAAACCUGAUGGCUUAAUUCAGAGUUUAUCUAACCAGUAAGAAUGCCUAAAACAAUUCCUCUUAUUUUCUGACAACGCAACAUUUCCUGCCAAGGUUGGUUGAGAAAGGGAAGACCAAGUAUGAGAUAGUAGCAACUAGGAUAUCAUCA
rnacentral:misc_RNA from 1 species